UACGGAGGAUGCGAGCGUUAUCCGGAUUUAUUGGGUUUAAAGGGUGCGUAGGCGGACGCUUAAGUCAGCGGUAAAAUUGCGGGGCUCAACCUCGUCGAGCCGUUGAAACUGGGUGCCUUGAGUGGGCGAGAAGUACGCGGAAUGCGUGGUGUAGCGGUGAAAUGCAUAGAUAUCACGCAGAACUCCGAUUGCGAAGGCAGCGUACCGGCGCCCAACUGACGCUGAAGCACGAAGGCGUGGGUACCGAACAGG
rnacentral:rRNA from 1 species